rnacentral:rRNA from 1 species
UACGUAGGGUGCGAGCGUUAAUCGGAAUUACUGGGCGUAAAGCGUGCGCAGGCGGCCGAGCAAGUCGAGUGUGAAAGCCCCGAGCUUAACUUGGGAACUGCGCUCGAAACUACUUGGCUAGAGUGUGGCAGAGGGAGGUGGAAUUCCUGGUGUAGCAGUGAAAUGCGUAGAUAUCAGGAGGAAUACCGAUGGCGAAGGCAGGUCUCUGGGCUAACACUGACGCUCAUGCACGAAAGCGUGGGGAGCAAACAGG